UACGUAGGGUGCGAGCGUUAAUCGGAAUUACUGGGCGUAAAGCGUGCGCAGGCAGUUCGCUGUGUCCGAUGUGAAAGCCCCGGGCUUAACCUGGGAAUGGCAUUGGAAACUGGCUGGCUUGAGUGCGGCAGAGGGGGGUGGAAUUCCGCGUGUAGCAGUGAAAUGCGUAGAGAUGCGGAGGAACACCGAUGGCGAAGGCAGCUCGCUAGGACGGUACUGACGCUGAGACGCGAAAGCGUGUGGAGCGAACAGG
rnacentral:rRNA from 1 species